UGGGGAAUAUUGCACAAUGGGGGAAACCCUGAUGCAGCGACGCCGCGUGGAGGAAGAAGGUCUUCGGAUUGUAAACUCCUGUUGUUGGGGAAGAUAAUGACGGUACCCAACAAGGAAGUGACGGCUAACUACGUGCCAGCAGCCGCGGUAAAACGUAGGUCACAAGCGUUGUCCGGAAUUACUGGGUGUAAAGGGAGCGCAGGCGGGAAGACAAGUUGGAAGUGAAAUCUAUGGGCUCAACCCAUAAACUGCUUUCAAAACUGUUUUUCUUGAGUAGUGCAGAGGUAGGCGGAAUUCCCGGUGUAGCGGUGGAAUGCGUAGAUAUCGGGAGGAACACCAGUGGCGAAGGCGGCCUACUGGGCACCAACUGACGCUGAGGCUCGAAAGUGUGGGUAGCAAACAGGAUUAGAUACCCUGGUAGUCCACACCGUAAACGAUGAUUACUAGGUGUUGGAGGAUUGACCCCUUCAGUGCCGCAGUUAACACAAUAAGUAAUCCACCUGGGGAGUACGACCGCAAGGUUGAAACUCAAAGGAAUUGACGGGGGCCCGCACAAGCAGUGGAGUAUGUGGUUUAAUUCGACGCAACGCGAAGAACCUUACCAAGUCUUGACAUCCCUUGACAGACAUAGAAAUAUGUAAUCUCUUCGGAGCAAGGAGACAGGUGGUGCAUGGUUGUCGUCAGCUCGUGUCGUGAGAUGUUGGGUUAAGUCCCGCAACGAGCGCAACCCUUAUGGUCAGUUACUGCGCAAGAGGACUCUGGCCAGACUGCCGUUGACAAAACGGAGGAAGGUGGGGAUGACGUCAAAUCAUCAUGCCCUUUAUGACUUGGGCUACACACGUACUACAAUGGCGUUAAACAAAGAGAAGCAAGACCGCGAGGUGGAGCAAAACUCAGAAACAACGUCCCAGUUCGGACUGCAGGCUGCAACUCGCCUGCACGAAGUCGGAAUUGCUAGUAAUCGUGGAUCAGCAUGCCACGGUGAAUACGUUCCC
rnacentral:rRNA from 1 species